AACGAACGCUGGCGGCAGGCUUAACACAUGCAAGUCGAGCGCCCCGCAAGGGGAGCGGCAGACGGGUGAGUAACGCGUGGGACGCUACCCUCCACUACGGAACAACUCCGGGAAACUGGAGCUAAUACAGUAUACGUCCUUCGGGAGAAAGAUUUAUCGGUGAUGGAUGAGCCCGCGUUGGAUUAGCUAGUUGGUGGGGUAAUAGCCUAGCAAGGCGACGAUCCAUAGCUGGUCUGAGAGGAUGAUCAGCCACAUUGGGACUGAGACACGGCACAAACUCCUACGGGAGGCAGCAGUGGGGAAUAUUGGACAAUGGGCGAAAGCCUGAUCCAGCCAUGCCGCGUGAGUGAUGAAGGCCCUAGGGUUGUAAAGCUCUUUCACCGGUGAAGAUAAUGACGGUAACCGGAGAAGAAGCCCCGGCUAACUUCGUGCCAGCAGCCGCGGUAA
rnacentral:rRNA from 1 species